AUUGUUCACUCUCUCUGAAGGCUUCAAACAGUCUCCAGCUGGCCUCAAGUUUGAGGCCUUUGGUUAGAGUGGACAAAAG
rnacentral:pre_miRNA from 9 species